rnacentral:rRNA from 1 species
AACGAACGCUGGCGGCAGGCUUAACACAGGCAAGUCGAACGAACCGCAAGGGGAGUGGAAGACGGGUGAGUAACGCGUGGGAACAUACCCUUUCCUGCGGAAUAGGUCCGGGAAACUGGAAUUAAUACCGCAUACGCCCUACGGGGGAAAGAUUUAUCGGGGAAGGAUUGGCCCGCGUUGGAUUAGCUAGUUGGUGGGGUAAAGGCCUACCAAGGCGACGAUCCAUAGCUGGUCUGAGAGGAUGAUCAGCCACAUUGGGACUGAGACACGGCCCAAACUCCUACGGGAGGCAGCAGUGGGGAAUAUUGGACAAUGGGCGCAAGCCUGAUCCAGCCAUGCCGCGUGAGUGAUGAAGGCCUUAGGGUUGUAAAGCUCUUUCACCGAUGAAGAUAAUGACGGUAGUCGGAGAAGAAGCCCCGGCUAACUUCGUG